ensembl:snRNA U6 U6 spliceosomal RNA
GUACGCACUGCAGCAACACAUACAGUAAAAUUGGGACAAUAGAGAAUAGUAUGGCCCUUGCAUCAGGAUGACAUGCAAAUUCAUGAAGCAUUCAUAUUGUGU